GCCGGCGCUUGGAGCCGCCUCCGAGAGCCGCAGGUUACACAGAGACCCUGUGAGGGGGCAGCGGCUCUGGGGUUGCCUCAGGCUACAAAUGCAACCAUUACCGCAAGCGAAUCCAUUCACCGCAGCGAAUCCAGAGCGUGCUGAGGCUCCAGACUGGGACUGAGGCAUCUGUACUGGGAGCGCACUGGUCCAUACUGGUUCCCCACCAUGGCUCUGCCGCCCGCCCUGGCCACAGCCUGGUCGCUGCUGCUGCUGCUGCUCCUGGAUGCGGUGCUGGUGAGCGGGUGGCUGUGCCACAGCUCUUGGCCUUGGUGUGGGUCCAGUGGUGCCUGUUGGGUGCUGCCUGCGUGGCCCUGGCGUUGGCCGUGUCGGCACUCGGUGAAGCAGCAGCACAAAGAAGAGGGGCAGCAGCAAGAAGAAGCCUCCGGUUGCAGCUCAUCCAGCCCAUGCAGGAGUUAAGUAGGAAGCUCUGCAGGGAGGAGAGGAAGAGACACCCAGGGCUACCUCCCUGUGCCCACAGAGCUCUGGGGGGGGGCUCGGUAUCCCCCUGCAUCCCAUGGAGGCUCCAUGCAGGAGCUGGGGCCACCCCAUCCGUACCCCCUGGUGCCAGCUCGUACCUGGUGCUGAGCUGGCAGAGCCCAUGGCCAUGCCUGCAAGAGAAAGAGCCGUGAGCAGCCAAGACCCCUCCUUUUCCAUCUGUUCCUCCUAUGGGGGCUGAGGAUUGGGAAGCCGGAGGCACGGGACCAGCACGGUGCUGGAUGUGCCCCCGGUGCUCACCUGGGGUCGCGCUGUUGCCAUCCCUGUUCUUCCCUGCAGAGAGGCAGAGCCAUCAGCAGCCCUAUGGGGCUGGUCAGGGCUCCCAUUCAGCAGCUCCUGCCCUGCCUCCCUCCCUGCAUGCGGGGCCUUACCCGCUCUGAGCUUCCAGAGGAGCACCCCGAUGAUGGUGAUGGCCACGAGCACCACGGCAGCCACCGGCAGCAGGAUGCUGAGCAGGUCAGAGUGCGGCUCUGCAGGAAGAGCAGGAGGAUGAGGAGCUGGCAAGGGGGAACCCCCCCCACCGUGCGCGGCCCCCCCAGGGCUCACCCAGAGCAUAGAGGCCGGGUUGGAGGAGGCUGGCGUGUUCCACCCGGCACCGGAACCUGUCCUUGUCGCCGGGGUGGGCCUCGAUGGAGGCCCACGUGUAGUAGGUGCCGUCGCUGUUGGGGGCGAGGCCGCCCCAUUGGGUGUCCUGGUCCCGCACCUCGCCGUCCUUGAGCCAGCUGAGCACGAUGGGCCGCGGGUAGAAGCCGUGAGCGCGGCAGGUCAAGCUCCAGCCGCCCAUAGCUCAAGUAUUUCUUCAGCCACUCCACACAGCUGUUCUCCAGGUAGUUGUUCCAGUCCUCAUCUCCCCUCCCAUCCUGUUCCCACUUCCUCUUGGCGAUCUCUGCCUCUGGAACCGCUGGGAUGAAGGUCAUGGUGUCCUUGUCGAAGGCAAUGAAGUCCUUCCCAUCAUAGGCGACCUUAGUGUACCCCUUGGUGCUCCCAUCGUCCAGGAGGUCACAGCCAGACAUGCACUGUAGUGUGUGAUCCCCUGCACCAAC